AUGCUAUACAGUAUGCCCGCUACAAGCAGCCCACAGGUGGCAUUUCCCUGGCCUGGAUCAUCAACCUCUCCAGUGAGGUGUUGUCUGACAUGCCCCGCUCCACCUCCUCCCAGCCAGACCACCUGCCCUUGCCUAUGCCCUCCUGAACCCAGCCGCAAGCACUCUGUAGACUUCCACGGUUUCUCCUACAAAGAGGGCUACUCUGAGGUCUUCCUUACCACCAACAGUGACUACAAUUCCAGCCAUGCCCAGAGCCCCCACGACAGUGUUGUAGGAGGGGGUGGAGAGGGUUCAGGGAUGGGGGAUCUGAGGGACACCACCCCCAACGUCCUCCAGGCCUCGGAGCCCCAAACAGGCCCUUUCGGCGAACGACAGCUGAGCAGAGUGGGGCCCGGGGGGAGAGGCGAAGUGACAGCGACUUCAUCUUACCCAGCCGGCAGAUCGAUCUACUGAGGAUCGCGGAGAAGAGACAGGCCUUCUGUGUGAGAACCAGUAGUCUUGAAUUCUCCUCUCCCUCUGCUGGUCAUCCUGCCCACUCACCCUCACCAUCCUCCUCCCGCCACCCGCCGCUAGCACCGACCCUCCUCUGUGGACUGCUACUGCCCUACUGAGCAGUGCCUGCCAAACCCCCAGCCCCUUGCUCGCAUUCUGUCAGAGGACAGCGGCACCCAGAGGCUCUCAGGUGCCCCCUCCCCCGGUACCCACAGGAAAGGCUGGAACGCCACGUUACGGGUGUACCCACAGUACCGAACAAGGGUACCCAAGGAAAUCAGUGUGAAGGUAUGGGGAACUUGGCUUGAGGUUGUCAGGUUAUAAUGAAUUGUUGUCCAUUUUUGGGCAACUUUCUGAUUUGGAUAUCCAAUUAUAAAACUCUCAUAACUCUUCUCCAGUUAUACUAUUGGCCAAUCACAUUCUGCUUAAUCUGAUUGUCUUUGUUCCUCUCUCGAUCCCUACCCCCAUCUCUGUCUCUCUGUUUCUCUCCAUCCAAGCUGCAGGUGACCCCAGGCACAUCGGCCAUGGAGAUGGUCCAGCUUGUGGUGCAGGAGAUGAAAGCAGUGUCGCGGCAGCUCCUCGGAGGUUGCAGUAGCAGUAGUAAUGGAGGGGGAGUGGAGGAUGAGCAUUGUAUGUACAGCCCUGGGCAGCUGGAUCACUUUGGCCUUGUACUGGUGGUGGACGGCAGGGAGAAGUGGCUUCAGGAUGGCUUCUGUCCCCUGGAGGUACAGAACCCCUGGCUCCUGGGCAAGCUGUGCAUCCACAUUGGCACUGCAGUACAGCAGGGCGACUACUGUCUGAAACUAUGGGGUGGGGAGGGGAUUGGGGUGGUCCCCUCCCCCCAAUCAUGGAAUUUAGGUCUGGACUAUUAGAGGGAAAUUUCUCCUUUAGAAAUGUGGGACCAUGAACUUUGAAUGUUUCACAAAGGUAGGCACCCUACCUAGGAUGAACUGGAACUUCUACUGGAACUUUCUCUCCUUUUCACCCUCUCUUUCUCUUUCUUUUCCUCUUUGGUUGUUUUUUUCCGACCAACUACUGUACAGAGCCUAGUUAAUCAUUUUAUGUUUGUUUAUUUGUUUUUGUUUUUGUUAACUGAACUGCUUCUGUGAGACUCUGUUUCCAUGAAGUCUCCUCCCAUCCCAUGUAAACGUCCUUUCCUUCCUCAACCUGUCACGCCCUGACCUUAGAGAGCCUUUUUAUGUCUCUAUUUGGUUUGGUCAGGGUGUGAUUUGGGUGGGCAUUCUAUGUUUUGUAUUUCUUUGUGUUUGGCCGAGUGUGGAUCCCAAUCAGAGGCAGCUGGCUAUCGUUGUCUCUGAUUGGGAAUCAUACUUAGGUAGCCUUUUGUCCCCACCUAUGUUGUGGGAUCUUGUCCUUGUGUUAUUGCUGUUGAGCCCUACAAGGCUGUACAUGUCCUUUCUUGUUUUCUGGUUAUCAGUAAAGAAUAUGAUUAACCUACCCCACGCUGCAUCUUGGUCUAAUUCCACCAACGACGAUCAUUACAGAAGAUCCCACCACAAAAAGACCAAGCAGCGUUUUCUGGAGGAGUGAACAUGGGAGGAGAUGCUGGAAGGCAAGGGACCCUGGGCGCAGGCUGGAGAAUAUCGCUGUCCUAAGGAGGAAAUAGAAGCAGCAAAAGCGGAACGGCGAAGAUACGAGGAGUUGGCACGAUGAAGCAUGCACGAGAGGCAGCCCCCACAUUUUUGGGGGGAGGCACACGGUGAGAUUGGCGGAGUCAGGCUAUAGACCUGAGCCAACUCCUCGUGCUUACCAUGGGGAGGUGCGCAUGCACAGCGCGGUGCGCUACAUUCGGGAGGGAGGGAUGGGAGAAAGGAGGAUGCUAUUUCUUUGGGAUCUUGGCACUUACUUUCUGGUGUUUCUUUUUCUUCCUGAGAGCAAGAACAAAUGCUUUGUGCAUGGCAUCUCCUGAACAAACCAUCAUCUCAUCCAACACAGCUAUCGAUAAGAAAGGCAAAGACAACAGAUUUGUAUUUAUUUUUUACGAAACCCAAACAGGAACAAAAGAAAGAGAAGCAUUACUUCCGCAAAGUUUUUUUCUCAUUUGUUUCUUUGUGAUUCGAGACAAUUUUACAUCUUCCAGAAUUCCUCUGAAGACCGUGCCAUACUAGUCAUGUGCUAACAGCUAGUCAGUGCAGUGUUUUGUGUUAUCUGACCAGUAAGAGGUGUUUGUCACCUCAUUGGGGGUCUGUUAGUCAUUACAGUACUGUAAGUACUCCAAUGGAAAUAGUAAUGGCCAAGUUGCUCUUCCAUGUGAUACUAGUAAGUUCUUUGAGCUCACAGUGGCUGCAGAAUUUGGUUUUGGUCAAGCACUCAUCUUUGUGUUCAUUUGGUGGAAAUCCAAUGUAGCAAAACCUUCAAGGCACUCCUAAGUUCUUUGAAAGUGUUCAAACAGAAGGCAUUUCAGCCCCGUGUGAAAGACCCUGGUUGAAUAUGGAGCCCUGAUGUCUGGAAUGAUAGCUUGCACUUACUGUGACAUUGUUGUUCCAGAAAAGUUUAGACCUAUAACCUUCUACCCUGUUCUAUAACCUUCCCUUAGACGUGGUUGGGUUCUCCGAGCCAGGUUCUCCAGUUUCCUUUACCCCCACAAAAAUGUGUGUUUACAUAUAAAAAAAUAAAUAAAGUAUUGGUUUUACUGAUGUUUUGAACUCUUGUGUUUGCGCUUAGAUGUAUCUUUUAUUCAGAUUGUUAAAAACUGUUUUUACAAGGGCAGACUGCAAAAAAAUACUUGGACAUAAAGAAAACGGUACUAAAUGUAUCUACUGUUAGACGUCAGGCUACUGGGUCUGUCAACAAUAUAGAGGUCAGAGGUCAAUUCUGAAGGGUGAAAGGGCAGAGGGUGAGGGGGUUUGCAAGUCCCUCACCUGCCAAAGGAGAAUAAAAGCCAAGUCUUUACAAGGACCCUUUGGCAGAUCCACUGGGCACAGUCAUGAAGGAGGC
rnacentral:lncRNA from 13 species